rnacentral:lncRNA from 1 species
CAUUAUCUGGUACAGGCCAAGGUGCGCAUUCACCUCCAGCUGGUGAUUCUACUCCUAGGUAUCGAUGCCCUGGAAGAAUCUGUGCCUUGGAGAACAGUGUUGGUGGGAACAGCGGUGCAAUAGGCAGAGGGAAUGUUGUGACCGUCCGCUCCGAGCUACUGUGGUGGUUUCUGCUGUGGGCCUGUGACAGAUCAUGUGACAGUCACAGGAUGCGGCCAUCAGCAGCCAUGAACCUCACACACGUAAGAUCGAGUGAGAAAAGGAAGUGUGCAAGUCCCGGACAGUGGUUCCCUGUAGGAGGGAGGGCACACGGCGUACCCAGCCACUGCUGCUACUUCGCAUGUCGCAUUCUGAGAUUCUGAAUGGAGGUGAAUUUUGGGAGGAUGCCAGUCAACCCACUACACGUUUGUCCUGUGUUUCAUUGUUUAUAAGAUGCUUGUGCUUCCCAGCACACCUGCAAGUUUCUCAGAUGGCUUUCCUGGGAAACACCAUCAGACAGAGGCCCCAGCGGGUCCCGUGUCUGACUCUGAAACCGCAGCACCCGGCCGCAGGCCGGGCACACAGUGGGCCUCAUCACUUGUCAGCUUACCAGGUCAGAGUUAAGCCCACUGCCAGGGUGCUUGGGGGUGUUCUUCAAAUUGUUUGGGGGACAGGAUAUGGCUGGUUUGGGGAAGGCAGGCCCUCGCUGCUCCCCUCCGCAGCAAUGCAGCCCCUCUCAGCCCAGGUGGGUGGGUGGUCCAGCGCUCUGCUGCCCCUGAGGACACCCAGCCCUCCAGGGAAGCGGGGCUGGCAGGAGGGCUGAGGCUGGCCUGUCCCCCCAUCCCUGCAUCCCUCCUGCCUCCACCAGCCUCCUGGCCUUCCCAGACUCUCACGUGGGGCCCAAGCAGAAGCGCAGCAAGCACGAGGCCAACAGAGGCGUGACCGCACGCAUGCUCUACCGCUGGUCCUCGGAGAAAAGCUUGGUCUUCCCUGGGUGUGGAAUACCUUCCCCUGCUUCCCACAAGGGCCCCCUUGGUGGGAAAGGACAGCGGCUGGGAGAUGUGCGGGCCGCUGGGACUGGGGAGGGGCCUCCCUCCUCCCCAUGAGGCCUGGAAAGGGCAGGGGCGCAUGCUGAUGGCCUGAACCUCGGUUCCCCAGGAAGGGCUGGUGGGACUCUAGAGAAAUCCAGAUGCUUUCUCCUCUGUCUGUAUCCAAAAUGUUUUCUAGUGGGACUCCUGGGUGGCUCAGGGGUUGAGCAUCUGUCUUCAGCUCAGGGCAUGAUCCUGGAGUCCCAGGAUCGAGUCCCACAUCGGGCUCCCUGCAUGGAGCCUGCUUCUCCCUCUGCCUGGGUCUCUGCCUCUCUCUCUCUCUCUCUCUCUCUCUCUGUCUUUCAUGAA